UUUAACAGAUUCUUACAGAAAUCUGACAAGAACUUCCUGAGGAAGAUCAUCAAGGGCCCCCUCUCUUCUGUCCAGGGAAUCUUGUCCUAGUAAAAACUAUAGAUCCAAAUAGGGGCUACAUACUCCCAACUGGGAGGGUCCUUACCCAGUAAUCAUGUCAAACACUUUAGCAAUCCAUGUAGCAGGAUAAGGCCUCUGGAUACAUCAUACCCUCCUUAAUGCCUGGAGACCCCUUGUUGAGUCCACCACAAAGGAGGCUCCUACAGAGAUCACUAUACCUGUAAGCUGAUAGAAUAUCUCAAAUUCCUGUUUAAACAAGUUAAGUGAUAUGUUUGAUUUUACUGGUCUUUUGAUUACAAUAUCAGUGGCUGUACUGCGUGCUAUUGGGUUAAUAGCAAUAGCUCCACAAGACUGAAGUCCUACACAUGAGAUAUUCCUAGCUUUAACCUAUUUAGGCAGAAAACCCUGUUCUGUGUAUUAUUAGUAUAUACUUGAGUCUAGUUCUAACAAAGCCUAAUUAUGACCAUAUGUGCACAGAUAUAUGUUGCAGGAAUCUUUUCUCCUGGACUGUGGUACACACCAGGACUCACAGGAUGCCUUUAACUCCAACAGUAUAGGUAUCAUUUGCUUGGAACUAUGAUACUAAGAUGAGGAUAUAAGAUAAAUUCAUACACAAUAGUAAUAAGAAAUAUGUUUUUGCUACUUGGACUCUUCCACCAACUACUCUUGUGUGAAAGGGACCCUCACCUUUGUGUGCCUUGGCACAGGGAAGGUUGUCUUUCACACUGGACAUUAUGUCAAAUCUCACCUUGUCAUGCUGCAAUGUUUCCUCUUUAUGGCCUCCUCUUCCUGCACAGCACCAUCCUUAUUUAUGUUCCUUAGCCAUCUUUUACUCUGGUAAUCCUAUCUUUAAAAUACUAAUGGGAACAUUACUAUAGACAAACCACAGAUUAUUUUAUAUACUAAUGCUACAGACAUCCACAAUUGUACAAUGUGGGUGGAAUACAUUAUCGUUUUGUCUAAUAUAAAAAACAAAGUACAGCUUCCCCAAAUAGUUAGAGUUCCAAGAUCUUGUGUAAAUGUCACUUAAAAUUAUCAGAAACAUCUACUACACUUUAAUUUGACUUUCCCUAUUUUAAAACAAGGUAAUCAGGAAAAGAGCUUGAUAUGAUACUUUGCUUGAUGGAGCUGGAACUAACUGGUUUGGAUAAUUGACCUUGAGAGCUUGGCUGGCAGACUGUGCAGUGCUGGACAAGAUGUAACUCAAGCUUUGACAAUUAAUGCUCAGUGGCUAACCACAAUGAUCCUGCCUCCAAAAAUGCUCUUGAUUAUGAUAAGCAAUUCCUGACAUUGUCCAAUAAGUCUACUUUUAGCUAAUCUAAAUACAGAUACUAAUGUUAACAUGUUGUUUAACUGGACUGUCUGCUCCUUAAAAAAUAUACUUUAAUACAGAAAGAAAAUGACAAUGACUAUUAACUGCUAGAAAUGAUGUCAUUUUUAGGAAGUUAUUUGCCAUGUAUAUUCCUUUAACCCACUGGAUGACUUUACAGCCACUUCAUAUACAAUGCUCUGAUUUAUUUUGUACUAGGACUAUACAGCAUUAUAAAACCAAAACAACAUAUAUUUUAUGUAAUUUUCAUGCUAUAUCUUUUGUUGUACAUUCCUAAUUUGCUUUGCCUCACUUUAUUGGUACCCAUGUAGAUGAAACCAAGGUGACUUAUUCCUUAUCUGAAUAUGUUAUUUGAGAUCAAGGAUGAGUAUGUUGCUGGUUGAGUAGGCAGAUGGAGCCCUGUCUGCUUAAGCAUUCCUCUAAUAUCUGUGACCUCACUCUGUAUCCUGUGAAUAACUUUUCUCUGUUCUAUGAAGUAACUGUUCAACAUGUAUGCUUAGCAAAUAAUACUCAAUAUGUCUUAAACUUUCUUAAUCAAGUUGCUCCUUUUGCUGGGUGUAUCAAAUACCUUUAAGGUCCUCCCUUGGCUGGGUGAUGUCUUUUAACCUUUCUUUUGACCAAGUAGUUGAUAUUAUUUUAACAUAGACCCCCAAAUCUUUGCAUAUAUAUAUAUACACAUACACAUACAUAU
rnacentral:lncRNA from 1 species